ACUUCCUCCUCCAUAUUAUCCAAUUGGAAUGUGUGAGGCACAAAGCAAUCGUUGCCAUCAGCCAUCCUACAUUGACAUCCUGCAGAAUAUGCAUAGCUCUGCAACGUCUGCAGGAUAUGUUCUUAUUUUACCAGUUCAAGGUCUAUAUAGACAGGGAUGGUCACAGUUGGAAGAAUGAGUGGCAUUUCCCGAGACAAGUUUCAUUUGGACGGAGUUAGACUUGCAAAAGGUGGAAGAUGAAUUAAUUUUCUGAAAGGUAUUCAUACCGAAAAGGUUUUCCCAGUCCAAUGGAGCGUCUUGAUGCGAAUGGCUAUGCACUACCACUAUUUCGCCCUUGAUGAGAUGGGCAGCCUGACCAGAAACUCCAUUCUCCUGAAGACGAGCUGAUUCAAUUUGCUUUGGAUUUGUCAUCGUUGGGAACAAAAGUAUAUAACGUUAAGAAAAGAGUUAGGUAAUUGACUUUUGUAUUUGGAUCAACAGAUGAAUAAGCUUAGUCACUACUGAUUCAGAUGGAGUCUGAAGUCUUCCCAGAUUGCUCCCUAUGGCUUUAGACCAUUUGGACAUGCAGUGAUAGCAAAAGAAGCAUUAUUAUUGCAUCAUUUAUUAGAAUGCCGCCAGUGGACUAGUUCAAAGUUCAUGGCCAGAUCCCAGUCUUUUUUAAAUACUGGUUUGUCCAAGCACGCGUUUUUGUGCUUUGAAUCGACAUUACUUGACUGGACUGCCUCACCGAAGGCUUGAAUGAAUGCUCUUGAUAUUUA